rnacentral:rRNA from 1 species
GACGAACGCUGGCGGCGUGCUUAACACAUGCAAGUCGAACGGAAAGGCCCUGCUUGCAGGGUACUCGAGUGGCGAACGGGUGAGUAACACGUGGGUGAUCUGCCCUGCACUUCGGGAUAAGCCUGGGAAACUGGGUCUAAUACCGGAUAGGAGCCAUUUUUAGUGUGAUGGUUGGAAAGUUUUUUCGGUGUAGGAUGAGCUCGCGGCCUAUCAGCUUGUUGGUGGGGUAAUGGCCUACCAAGGCGGCGACGGGUAGCCGGCCUGGGAGGGUGGACGGCCACAUUGGGACUGAGAUACGGCCCAGACUCCUACGGGAGGCGGCAGUGGGGAGUAUUGCACAAUGGGCGCAAGCCUGAUGCAGCGACGCCGCGUGGGGGAUGACGGCCUUCGGGUUGUAAACUCCUUUCGCUAGAGACGAAGCUUUUGUGACGGUACCUAGAUAAGAAGCACCGGCUAACUACGUG